rnacentral:rRNA from 1 species
GCCAGACUCCUACGGGAGGCAGCAGUGGGGGAUAUUGCACAAUGGGGGGAACCCUGAUGCAGCGACGCCGCGUGGGUGAAGGAGCGUUUCGGCGCGUAAAGCCCUAUCGGCAGGGAAGAGGGAGGACGGUACCUGACUAAGAAGCCCCGGCUAACUACGUGCCAGCAGCCGCGGUAAUACGUAGGGGGCAAGCGUUAUCCGGAUUUACUGGGUGUAAAGGGGGCGCAGACGGCAGCGCAAGCCAGGAGUGAAAGCCCGGGGCCCAACCCCGGGACUGCUCUUGGAACUGCGCGGCUGGAGUGCAGGAGGGGCAGGCGGAAUUCCUGGUGUAGCGGUGAAAUGCGUAGAUAUCAGGAGGAACACCGGUGGCGAAGGCGGCCUGCUGGACUGCGACUGACGUUGAGGCCCGAAAGCGUGGGGAGCAAACAGGAUUAGAUACCCUCGUAAA